AAGGAAAUUGCCAAGGCAUUGUUGAAGAAAAACGAAAAGACCACCGUUUCAGCGAAGGGAAAGGAAAAUGCAUGUUCAGUAGCACAUAACAAUAAUGUUAUAUCGAAAGCUGCAUUGGCUCAACGUGCACGACGAGAACGCGAAAGAAAUGAUAAGGCAAGCUCUUCAUAUCAAUUGGGACAACGUUCGCGACGUGAACGAGAGAGAUCGAGAGAAUUGAUUCCAUCGAGCACAACUAAUACUCCACCGACUUAGAAAGGAGUAAUGUUUGCACAUCUUACUUCGCCAAGCACAUCUUUAGCUUUACAAAGGAAUUGGCCUACUCAUGCAAGCCCAUUCCUCCAUGAGACUGGGAAUAUCAGUGUUGUUAUUCGCG